GUUAAAUCACUCUUUCAUGAAAGAUAACAUCUCCUCAUGUGAUGACCAUCAUAUCAGUGGUCUAUCUUACGUGAACUCUGAAUGGCAGGAAUAGAAGCAGAGUGCUCCCUCUUGAAUACCACCAGAAAACAGAACAUCUACCAACCAGCAGAUAGCCUCUGCCACCGUCCCUGCUGUGUACUAACAAACAGAGCAUCUUGUGCUGCCUACUAUCAAAC